UCGCGCAGAACGCCUAACCCUGCCACUGCGAGAGCCGCCGACAACCCGCUGGCAGGGACGGGGGACCCAAAUCUGGGCGCUGUUCACAGCGUCCUCGGGGUGAAGCCCCACGACCGUCUCGACGGCCGUGAGGCCGGGUGCAUCUCCUACCCGAACCCGACAGCUGACCUCGCAGGCGUACUGGAGAAAACGU
rnacentral:sRNA from 2 species